CUCCCUAUUCCUUGGGACACAACUGUAUUGAAAUUAGACCAACUAAUACUUCUACAAAGACUUCUGAGUGUUGAAGUGAAAGGAAGAGUUGCACGUCUCUUAUUUUAAAUCAAAAGCUAGACAUGAUGAAGCUUAGUGAGAAAGGUCUGUAGAAAGAUAAGAUGGGCCAAAAGCUAGGCCUCUUGCAUCAGCUAACUGUGGUGUGAAUGCAAAGGAAAAGCUUUUGAGGAAAAUGAAAAUUCUACUCCAGUGAACACACAAAUGACCAGAAAGCAUAACAGCCUUAUUGCUGAAAAGAAGAAAGUUUGAGUGGUUUGGAUAGAGAAUCAAACCAGCCCCAACAUUCCCCUAAGCCAAAGCCUAAUUCAGAGGAAAGUUCUAACUCUUUUCAAUUCUGUGAAGGCUGAGAGAGGUGAGGAAACAGCAGGAGAAAAGUUUAAAGCCACCAGAGGUUGGCUUAUGAGGUUUAAGGAAAUAAAGCAACCAUCUCCAUAACAUAAAAGUGCAAGUGGAGAAGCAAGUGCUUAUGAAGAAGCUGAAGCAAGUCAUCCAGAAGAUCUAGCUAAGAUAAUUGAUGAAGGUGGCUACACUACACAACAUGUGUUAACAGCCUUCUACUGAAAGAAGAUGCCAUCUAAGACUUUCGUAGCUACAGAGAAGUCAAUACCUGGCUUCAAAGCUUCAAAGAACAGGCUGACUCUCUCAUUAGGGGCUAAUGCAGCUGGUCACUUGAAGUUGAAACCAAUGCUCAUUAACCAGUCUGAAAGUCCUUGGGCCCUUAAGAAUUAUGCUAAACCUACUCUGCCUGUGCCCUAUAAAUGAAACAACAAAGCCUGAUGAAAGCGCUCCUGUUUAUACUAUGGUUUACUGAAUAUUUUAAGCCCACUGUUGAGACCUACUGCUUCAAAAAAAAGAUUCCUUUCUAAAUAUUACUGCUCAUUGACAAUGAAGCUGGUAACCCAAGAGCUCUGACGGAAAUAUACAAGAAGAUUAAUGUUGUUUUCAUGCCUGCAAACAAAUCAUCCAUUUUGUAGCACACAGAUAAAGGAGUAAUUUUUACUUUCAAGUCUUAUUAUUUAAGAAAAACACUUCAUAAGGCUACAACUGCCAUAGUGACAUUUAUGAUGGAUCUGAGCAAAGUACAUUGAAAAUCUUCUGGAAAGGAUGCACCAUUCUAGAUGUCCUUAAGAACAUUUGUGAUUCACGGGAAGAGAUCAAAAUAUCAACACUAACAGGAAUUUAAAGGAGGUUAAUUCCAACUCUCAUGGAAGACUUUGAGGCAUUCAAGGUUUCAGUGGAGGAAGUUCCUAUAGAUGUAGUGGGCAGAGUGAGAAAAGUAGAAUCAGAAGUGGAGCCUGAGUACAUAACUGAAUCUCAGGAUAAAAUUUGAACAAAUGAGGAGUUGCUUCUUAUGGAUAGGCCAAGAAAGAGGUUUCUUGAGAUAGAAUCCACUCCUGGUGAAGAUGCUGUGAACAUUUUUGAAAUGACAACACACAAAAAUAGAAUAUUUUCUAAACUUAGUUGAUGAGACAGCAUCAGAAUUUGAAAGGUUCGACUCUAGUUUUGAAAGGUUCUGCUGUGGGUAAGAUGCUAUCAAACAGCAUCACAUGCUACAGAGAAAUGGUUGGUAAAAGGAAGAGUCAAUGGAUGCACCAAACUUUCCUGUUUUAUUUUAAGAAAUAACCACAACUAACUCAACCUUCAGUAACCACCACCUGAUCAUUCAGCAGCAGCCAUCAACCUUGAGGGAAGACCUUCUAGCAACAAAAAGAUUAAGACUCUGAAGGGUCAGAUGAGCAGUAGCUUUUUUUUUUUAGUAAUAAAGUAAAGUAUUUUUAAAUUAAGUUAUGAACAUUGGGAAUU
rnacentral:lncRNA from 1 species